AACUACGUGCCAGCAGCCGCGGUAAUACGUAGGUGGCAAGCGUUGUCCGGAAUCAUUGGGCGUAAAGCGCGCGCAGGCGGUUUCUUAAGUCUGAUGUGAAAGCCCACGGCUCAACCGUGGAGGGUCAUUGGAAACUGGGAGACUUGAGUGCAGAAGAGGAAAGCGGAAUUCCACGUGUAGCGGUGAAAUGCGUAGAGAUGUGGAGGAACACCAGUGGCGAAGGCGGCUUUCUGGUCUGUAACUGACGCUGAGGCGCGAAAGCGUGGGGAGCAAACAGGAUUAGAUACCCUGGUAGUCCACGCCGUAAACGAUGAGUGCUAAGUGUUAGGGGGUUUCCGCCCCUUAGUGCUGCAGCUAACG
rnacentral:rRNA from 2 species